UGAUGCAGCCAUGCCGCGUGUGUGAAGAGGGCCUUCGGGUUGUAAAGCACUUUCAGUCAGGAGGAAAGGUUAACGGUUAAUACCCGUUAGCUGUGACGUUACUGACAGAAGAAGCACCGGCUAACUCCGUGCCAGCAGCCGCGGUAAUAAUCACU
rnacentral:rRNA from 1 species